rnacentral:rRNA from 1 species
GAACGAACGCUGGCGGCAGGCUUAACACAUGCAAGUCGAACGCGUGUAGCAAUACACGAGUGGCGCACGGGUGAGUAACGCGUGGAUAUCUGCCUUUUGGUUCGGAAUAACCCCGGGAAACUGGGGCUAAUACCGGAUGGUUCCUUCGGGAUAAAGAUUUAUCGCCAAAAGAUGAGUCCGCGUCCGAUUAGCUAGUUGGUGAGGUAAUGGCUCACCAAGGCGACGAUCGGUAGCUGGCUGAGAGGACGAUCAGCCACACUGGGACUGAGACACGGCCCAGACUCCUACGGGAGGCAGCAGGUGGGGAAUAUUGGACAAGUGGGGGCAACCCUGAUCCAGCCAUGCCGCGUGAGUGAUGAAGGCCUUCGGUU